AGAGUUUGAUCCUGGCUCAGGAUAAACGCUGGCGGCGCACAUAAGACAUGCAAGUCGAACGGAAGUCGUUAUAAAAGGAGAGAAGAUUUGUCGGAUUGAAUUUUAUAACAAUGGCUUUAGUGGCGGACUGGUGAGUAACGCGUAAGGAACCUGCCUAUUAGAGGGGAAUAACAGUGAGAAAUCAUUGCUAAUACCGCAUAUGCCAUAACUACCGCAUGGUAGAAGUGGGAAAGGAGUAAUCCGCUGAUAGAUGGCCUUGCGUCUGAUUAGUUAGUUGGUGGGGUAACGGCCUACCAAGACGACGAUCAGUAGCCGGACUGAGAGGUUGAACGGCCACAUUGGGACUGAGAUACGGCCCAGACUCCUACGGGAGGCAGCAGUCGGGAAUAUUGCGCAAUGGAGGAAACUCUGACGCAGUGACGCCGCGUGCAGGAAGAAGGUUUUCGGAUUGUAAACUGCUUUAGACAGGGAAGAAAAAAGACAGUACCUGUAGAAUAAGCUCCGGCUAACUACGUGCCAGCAGCCGCGGUAAUACGUAGGGAGCGAGCGUUAUCCGGAUUUAUUGGGUGUAAAGGGUGCGUAGACGGGAAAAUAAGUUAGUUGUGAAAGCCCUCGGCUUAACUGAGGAACUGCAACUAAAACUGUUUUUCUUGAGUACUGGAGAGGAAAGUGGAAUUCCUAGUGUAGCGGUGAAAUGCGUAGAUAUUAGGAGGAACACCAGUGGCGAAGGCGACUUUCUGGACAGAAACUGACGUUGAGGCACGAAAGUGUGGGGAGCAAACAGGAUUAGAUACCCUGGUAGUCCACACCGUAAACGAUGGAUACUAGGUGUAGGGUGUGAUAAACGCUCUGUGCCGUCGCAAACGCAGUAAGUAUCCCACCUGGGGAGUACGGCCGCAAGGUUGAAACUCAAAGGAAUUGACGGGGGCCCGCACAAGCAGUGGAGUAUGUGGUUUAAUUCGAAGCAACGCGAAG
rnacentral:rRNA from 1 species